UACUCUUCGCCUUCGUCAACGUGACUUAGAUGAUUAUGUGAUCAUCAGUGACUCAUUUGAAGGCUUGUCACGUGUAGCUAAGGGAAAAACUGGUGCUGGUGGGUCGAAAAGCUCUGGGAGCGCGGGUUCUCGUAACCCUGAAGCUGGCGCGACUCCAUCUUUUCCUGAAGAUGAUGAAGCUGAAGAAGAAGAUGCUGGUGCCCAGCUUAUUGGGCGGAAGAGGGGUAGGAGCGAAGCCACGACUGGUGUGGCUUCCGCCCCUACAUCUGUUGUGAUUCCCGCGGUUGGGAAAACGAGCAAGCUGCGCUCGUUAUACAAAUUUUCUCCUGAAAUCAAGAAGAAGACCCCUGAGAAGGGUGUCACGUUCAGUGAGGCUGCGGCGAAGAGGCCCAAGAUUACCAUCAAGUCCACUGACACUGCUGCUCAGGAUGCCGCGAAGGCUGCUGAGGCGCAGCGAAAGGUGGAGGAGGGUCGGAAGAGAGAGGAAGAGAAGAAGAGGGUUGCCGAGAAGAAGAGGAAGGAUGAAGAAGAGAGGAAGAGGAAGGAGGAG